CCCUAGCCCGGAUGGAAGCUGGCUACCGCGUAGCGCGAACAGCCGGAUUAGCU
rnacentral:sRNA from 1 species